ACCUGGGUGGCUCAGUUGGUUAAGCGUCUGACUUCGGCUCAGGUCAUGAUCUCACAGUUUGUGGGUUCGAGCCCCACGUCGGGCU
rnacentral:tRNA from 1 species